ensembl:lncRNA
CAGAAGCUGGCGGUUGAGUUGCAGGCUGCAGGCCACAGUGGGGUUCUGGUUCCUUUCCAGUGUGACUUAAACAGCGAGGAGGAGAUUCUGUCCAUGUUUGCUGCCAUCAAGGAGCAGCACCGAGGGGUCGACGUGUGCAUCAACAACGCCGGCUUGGCUCAUCCAGAGUCUCUGUUAAAGCGGCUGGAAGAACAUGCUAGAUGUACGGUUGCACACGUGCUUUUCUUUUUACACUUUUGAGCUUUUGAAUUUUUUGAGCUGCUUUUAUGCUGUUUGAGCAUAAUACUGUCAGGGCUUAGUGAAACAUUUAAAUAGCUCAGAGCCAUCCAGCAUUUUAUUGGUGACACCUGGGCUGAAAGGCAUUGAAACAAUAACAUUUUUUUAGAUCAGUGAAUCUUUAGUUUAUUAGAUAUAUAUUAGUUAUAUACCACCCUCUGGACUAAACAAAUCCCCCACUGUGAGAACACAGCAGAUGUUGAGGGGAACAUGUGAAUGUAUGCAAUAUCUGACACAUAGCUCAGUGUAAAAGGACAAAAAGAUGCUAUUGCCACUGUGGCACUUAUUUUUCUCACCGUGAGAUUAAAAGCAUCAAAAUAAUAGCUAAUGUCUAUUCGUUUUAACUUUUUCUUGCAGGUGAAUGUUCUUGCUUUGUGUAUUCGCACCCGUGAAGUGUAUCAAUCUAUGAAGGAAAGAAAUGUUGACGAUGGGCACAUCAUAAACAUAAACAGCUCCACCAAGUGUCUACUGACACAUUCUUUAUCUGAUUAAUUGAAGACAAUUGGUAGAGCUGAUCAUGGAAUAACAUCUAAAGUUUCUAUUAUUUUUGUAAUUGUGGAUGAAAUUAUUUCGGACUUUAUUACUAAAUGGAAGGAAAAAUGGUCAUUUCGUUCAAAGAAAAAAAAAGCUUGUUCAAAAGUUGUUUUUGAUCUGUUAUCUAUUUUAUAACAUUCGACAUCUGGGCUUUUGCAGUGCAAUCCUUUUUUUUUUCAAAGAUAAUGGUCAGGAACAUGGACAUUAGACAAGAGGCAGAUGGCGAUACCUUGUUAGUUAAUAAAAUCUACUGAUUUAACUUAAUGAGAAAUGCAUAUUGAAUUAUUCUAUAUCUUCCUUCCAGUGUAGUAUUUUAU